rnacentral:rRNA from 1 species
UGGUGGAGCGAUUUGUCUGGUUAAUUCCGAUAACGAACGAGACUCUAGCCUACUAAAUAGUUGGCGGAUCAUUGUGUUCGCAAAACUUCUUAGAGGGACUGGUGGUUUUUCGUCCACACGAGAUUGAGCAAUAACA